rnacentral:rRNA from 1 species
AUGGGGCACCACCGCCUCCUCGAGCGCGUCGCCAAGGAGUGCCACCUCGCCAACGCGUCUGGCCUGGUCGCCGUCCGCCGCUUCUUCUACUCCUCUUACUCCCGGAGCCUGAAUGGGAGCAUCUUCGACGGCCUGCACAUGGACCUCUUGUCCUACGCCGACGGCAUGCUCAACGCGGGCUCGCACGACGAGCAGAGCCUAGGGGCCGGCAUCCUUGUCGCUCUCGCCGAGUCCCACCGCUUCGAGGACUCCACGCUUCGCAAGAUCGGCAUGUCCGCCCCCACCAUCGAGCGGCUCAUCCAGAUGCUCAGCUGGAAGAGCACGUCCGAGAGGGACGUGCGCAGAUCGGCCGCGGUUGUUGUCUCCAUGCUCACCGGGAGGAAGUUCGUUGCCCUCCGCGUCACCAGCAUCCCUGGGGCGGUGGAGUCCGUGGCUUCGUUGCUGUACGCCGACCUCGACGAGCUCAACCUCCUCGGCCUCUCCAUCCUCAAUAAGCUGGCGUACGACCAUGAUAACUGCGACAAGAUCGGCAAGACCCGGAAUCUCGUCGACAAGAUCAUUUCAUACUGUAGCAUCACUGGCGGGGGACAGGCGGUAGCGCCGACGGAUAUGCGGCUGAAGGCGGUGAAGCAGUCGCUACUUGUGGUGAAGAGGCUGACGGGCAUGACGGGGACCACCGGGAAGCUUCUACGAAGGGAGCUUUCCGACAUCGUGUUCACGGUGAGCAACCUCAUGGAGGUGCUGCUGGAGCAGCGUGACGGAAAGGUCCAGUCCGAGCUGCACCAGCUGGCGAUCGAGGUGCUGACGAGCCUCGCCAUUGACAAGGAGGCGAGGGAGAAGAUAGGCGGGACGGGGGGUGUGGUCAGAGAGCUGGUCGCGAUAUUUCUACCGGGAAAGGAUCAGGCUAAAGGAAACUGGCAGACAGACGCGAUCCGGGUGGAGUCCGGCGAGGCGCUGGCCAUGCUUGCGCUGGAAAGCAGGACGAACUGCGGCGCCAUAAUAAUGGCUUGCGGCGGAGGCGUGGAGCGGCUGGUCGAGGCCCUGAGUGACGCCGUCGUCAUCAUCGGUGUGGCGAGAAUCCUGCUCAACCUUUGCACCUACGCCGGGGACGAGUGGCAGCUUCCCCUGAGAGGAGUCACCACAGGUGCCACCAAGGUGCUGAGUGCCAUCAUGGUCGAGAAGAACAAAAUCCUCAACAUCUUCCUCGGCCUCGCAGUGCAGAUGCUCCGAUUCAUGGAGCCGGAGCUGCGGGCGUGCCUGGCGGGGGCAAGUGUGACGGAGAAGGCACUGGUGCAGAUGUUGCUGCAUAUCCUGCGGGAGUACAGGCGCCCAUGCAUGGCCAUCCCUUGGAUCCGCCGUUACGCUAUCGAGCUCACAGUCGCCAUGAUGCAAUUGGACCCGCGUUACAUGGCCAUGUUCGUGGAGCAUGGGAUGGAAGGCGACUUGAGGUGCAUCGCUGGCACCACCUCGGAGCUCGAGUGCUUCAAUGCUUUCUCCGGGAGCGUCGGUCUUAGCCGCCAUGCUGUCAGCGUCCCCUCGCUUGUCACGUCUGCAUUGGAGUUGAUGAAGAUAUACUGA